rnacentral:lncRNA from 1 species
GUGAGCCACCACACUCAGCAUAACUUUUUAAAUUUGCACAAAUAUGUAUAGUUCCUAUCUCUGUGUUAUUUCUAAUUUCAUUAAAUUUUAGUCAUAGAACAUAUUUUGUAUAAUUUCAAUAUUUUUAACCUUCAUUUGGUUUGUUUUGUAUGAUGUUAGUGCAGACAUUCCAGUUUUUUUGUGGUUGCUACUUGGAUAUUUCUAUUUCCAUCCUAUUUCUUUCAACACUUUUGUAUUUUAUAAACUGCCUACAACAGACACCUUAUAGUUUGAUUGUUUUUUAAAUAUCCACUUGGUCAAUCAGACUGGUUUGGAUUGCUUGAUCCAUCAGUACAGCUGGAUUUAAAUUUUCCAUUAUACAUUUUAAAAUUCUAUGUCUAUCUUCUUUUACAGAAUCCCUCCUAUACUACUUUUUAUAAGUUAAUAUUUUCUAAAAUAAUGUAUUAUUAUCUUUAACGAUUUUUCCCUCUAUUAUAUGAAAAUCCUUUUUAGUGGUUGCAGUAGGGCUUUUUUUUAUAAUUGACAAGUAAUAAUUGUAUAUAAUUCCAGGGAACUAUCUGAUGUUUUUGUAUGUAUACAUAGUGUAAUAACUAAAUCAAGCACAUUAACAUAUCCAUAACUUCACCUACUUUUGUUGUGACAACUUUAAUAUCUACUUAUAACAAUUUUAAAAUAUACAGUCAGUGACAAUGGUCACCAUGCUGUGAAAUAUGUCUAAAACUUAUUCCUCCUAACAGAAAAUUGGUACUCUUUGACCAACGUCUUGCCUUUGCCCAUCUCUCCAACACCCACAUCCUGGAAACCAUAACAUCCAACUUUCUACUUGUAUGAGUUAGCCUUUCUUAGAUUCCACAUACAAAUAUAAUGUAGUAUUUGCCUCUCUGUGCCUGUCUUACAACACUUAGCAUAGUAUACUACAGAUUCAUCCAUGUUGUCACAAAUGACAAUUUUCCUUCUUUUCCAAGGAUAAAAAAUAUUCCAAUAUGUAUAUACAACACAUCUUCUAUGUCCAUUCAUCUGUUAUGAAAACUUAAGUCUUUUCCAUUUAUUAGCUUUGUAAAUAAUUUCAAAAUAAGGGAGUGCAAGAUCUCAACAUACUGCUUCAAUUCCUUUGGAUAUAUACCUAAGUAGAGAUUGCUAGAUCAUAUAGUAAUUGUACUUUUAGUUUCUUAAGGAACCACCAUAUAGUUUCCUAAAUUGGCUAUACUAAUUUAUAUUCCCACUAACAGAAUGUUGGGACUUCCUUUUAUCCACAUCCUUGCCAGCACCUGUCUUUCAUCCUUUUAAUAAUAGCCAUUCUAAAAGGUGUAAGGUAAUAUCUUGCAGUUUUGAUUUGCAACUCACUAAUGAUUAGAGAUGUUGAGCAUUUUUUUCAUGUAUCAAUCAAUUGGCCACUCAUGUCUUCCUCUGAAAAAUUUAAGUUGAGGUCCUUUUCCCCCUUUUAAAGACAGUUGUUUUCUUGCUAUUGGGCUUGGGUUUCUUAAUACAUUUUGGAUAUUAGCCCCUUAUCAGAUAUAUGAUUUGAAAAUGGUUUCUCAAAACCCGUGUCUUCAUUCUGUUAACUGUACCCUUUGCAGUGCAGAUGCUUUUUAGUUUGAUGCAACUCAAGUUGUCUGUUGCGGGAAGUCAGGGACCCCAAACGGAGGGACUGGCUGAAGCCAUGGCGGAAGAACGUGGAUCGUGAAGAUUUCAUGGACAUUUAUUAGUUCCCCAAAUUAAUACUUUUAUAAUUUCUUAUGCCUGUCUUUACUGCAAUCUCUAAACAUAAAUUGUGAAGAUUUCAUGGACACUUAUCACUUCCCCAAUCAAUACCCUUGUGAUUUCCUAUGCCUGUUUUAAUCUCUUAAUCCUGUCAUCUCGUAAGCCGAGGAGGACGUAUGUCGCCUCAGGACCCUGUGAUAAUUGUGUUAAGUGCAGAAAUUGUAGAGCAUGUGUGUUUAAACAAUAUGAAAUCUAGGCACCUUGAAAAAAGAACAGGAUAACAGCAAUGUUCAGGGAAUAAGAGAGAUAACCUUAAACUCUGACCGCCGGUGAGCCAGGCGGAACAGAGCCAUAUUUCUCUUCUUUCAAAAGCAAAUGGGAGAAAUAUCGCCGAAUUCUUUUUCUCAGCAAGGAACAUCCCUGAGAAAGAGAAUGUGCCCCUGAGGGUGGGCCUCUAAAAUGGCCCCCUUGGGUGUAGCUGUCUUCUAUGGUCGAGACUGUAGGGAUGAAAUAAGCCCCAGUCUCCCAUAGCGCUCCCAGGCUUAUUAGGACGAGGAAAUUCCCACCUAAUAAAUUUUGGUCAGACAGGUUGCUCUCAAACCCUGUCUCCUGAUAAGAUGUUAUCAAUGACGAUGGUGCCCGAAACUUCAUUAGCAAUUUUAAUUUCAACCCAGUCCUGUGGUCCUGUGAUCUCGCCCUGCCUCCAUUUGCCUUGUGAUAUUCUAUUACCUUGUGAAGCACGUGAUCUCUGUGACCCACCUCCUAUUCGUAUACUCCCUCCCCUUUGAAAAUCCCUAAUAAAAACUUACUGGUUUUACGGCUCAGGGGGCAUCACGGAACCUACCGACAUGUGAUGUCUCCCCAGGAUGCCCAGCUUUAAAAUUUCUCUCUUUUGUACUCUGUCCCUUUAUUUCUCAACCCGGCCAAUGCUUAGGGAAAAUAGAAAAGAACCUAUGUGACUAUCUGGGCAGGUUCCCUGAUAGUUGUCUGGCUGUUUUUGCUGCCCAUGCUUUUAAGGAUGUAUCCAAGAAAUCAUUGCCCAGAACAACAUCAUAGAGCUUUUCCCCUAUAUUUUCUACUAGUAGUUUUACAGUUUCAAAGGCAACAUUUCAGGCUUUAAUCCAUUUUGAGUUGAUUUUUCUAUAUGCUAUGAGAAAAUGGUUCAAUUUCACAUAUAGAUAUACAGAUAUCUCAAAACAAUUUAUUUAUUUAUUUGUCCUCUCCCCAUUCUGUGUGCCACUUUUGUCAAAAAUCAAUUGGAUGGAAAUGUAUGAGUUAUGUCUGGGCUUUCCUGUUCCACUGGUCAGUGAAUCUGUUUUUAUGCUGGUACCACAGUUUUUUGAUAAUGGAUUACAAAAUCAGGUAGAGUGAUGCCUCCAGCUGUGUCCUUGUUGCUCAAGAUUACUUUGAUUAUUUAAUGUCUUUUGUAGUUCCAUACAAGUUUUAGAAUUUUUUUUGUAUUUCUGUAAAAAAAAUAAAAAUAAAAAGGACAUUGAAAUAUUGAUUACACAGAAUCUGUAUGUUUCUUUUGGCAGUAUGAAAAUUAUAACAAUAUAAAUUUCCCAAUCCAUGUACAAAGAAAAAUUUCUAUUUUUGUAAUCUUCAAUUCGUUUCAUCAAUGUUUUCACUAUACAGAUCUUUAACCUACUUGGUUAAAUUCAUUCAUAAGUUUGUUUACUUAGUAAAUAGUGUAAAUGUGAUUAGUUUCCUGAUUACUUUUUUGGAUAGAUUGUUGUUUGUUAGUGUAUAGAAAUGCUACAGACUUAAUUGUCAAUUUUGUACGUAGCACUUUUUAUGGAAUUCAUUUUAUUAGUUCUAUAGUUUUUUUUUUUUUAAUGGAGUCUUUAAGGUUUUCUAGCUAUAAGAUAAGAUAAUCAGGAGAGGCAAGUUUUUUCUUCUUUUCCUACUUAGAUGUCUUUUAUUUCUCUUGCCUAAAUGCUCUUGCUAUGACUUCCAGUACAACACUGAACAGAAGGAGAAAAAAUGGCAUCCAUGUCUUGUUCCUGAUCUUAGAGAAAAAGCCUUCAACUCUUCGGUGUUAAGAUUUCAGCUCUGGGCCGGUCAUAUAGGGCCUUUAAUGUGUUGAGACAUCUUCCUUUUAUACCUAACUUGUUCAGGUUUUUAUCAUGCAAAGAUGUUAAGUAUUGGGCCGGGGACUGUGGCUCAUGCCUGUAAUCCCAGCACUUUGGGAGGUCAAGGAGGGUGGAUCACCUGAGGUUAGGAGUUCGAGAUCAGCCUGGCCAACGUGGUGAAACCCCGUCUCUACUAAAAAUACGAAAAUUAGCCAGGUGUGGUGGUGUGCGCCUG